rnacentral:misc_RNA from 1 species
UCUCCGUAGGUGAACCUGCGGAGGGAUCAUUACAGAGUUCUCGCCCUCGCGGGUAGAUCUCCCACCCACUGUUAUCGUUACUGUGUUGCUUUGGCGGGUCGCCGGGCCCCGCUCGGCCGCCGGCUCCGGCUGGCGCGCGCCCGCCAGAGGCCCAGCAAACUCUGAAUGUUAGUGUCGUCUGAGUACUAUAUAAUAGUUAAAACUUUCAACAACGGAUCUCUUGGUUCUG